UACGUAGGCAGCGAGCGUUGUUCGGAGUUACUGGGCGUAAAGGGUGCGUAGGCGGUUGUUUUAAGUUUGGUGUGAAAUCUCCCGGCUCAACUGGGAGGGUGCGCCGAAUACUGAAUGACUCGAGUGUGGGAGAGGUGAGUGGAAUUCCUGGUGUAGCGGUGAAAUGCGUAGAUAUCAGGAGGAACACCGGUGGUGUAGACGGCUCACUGGACCAUAACUGACGCUGAGACACGAAAGCGUGGGUAGCAAACAGG
rnacentral:rRNA from 1 species